UACGUAGGGUCCGAGCGUUGUCCGGAAUUAUUGGGCGUAAAGGGCUCGUAGGCGGUCUGUUGCGUCGGGAGUGAAAACUUACAGCUUAACUGUGAGCGUGCUUUCGAUACGGGCAGACUUGAGGCAUUCAGGGGAGAACGGAAUUCCUGGUGUAGCGGUGAAAUGCGCAGAUAUCAGGAGGAACACCGGUGGCGAAGGCGGUUCUCCGGACAGUUCCUGACGCUGAGGCACGAAGGCCAGGGGAGCAAACGGG
rnacentral:rRNA from 1 species